GAGCUGUCACAGACACCAUUUACAUCAAGUGGGUCCAAUAUUUGCUCAAGAAAAUGAGGAUUUCUGCUCUCUGUGGCUCAGUUAAAACCAGGAAGAGACUCUUUAACUGCAGCUCUCAGAAUCAGGAAGUAAGUUCUUGGAUUAUAAAAUAAUGUUAUUAAGGCUUUGAGUAAAUUCAGUUUCAGCCAGGAAAAAAUUAAGGUAAAACCACGUUUGAACAAGAUUUGAAACUUUGUACAACUAUUACUCACAACUAAAAAAAAACAGUGAAUCCAGGAGUCAUCUAGGCUGGCUGACAUGGCUUGCAGGAUAAUUUAAUUAAUUUCCUCUGUUUUUUGGCAGUGAUCACACAGAGAGAACAUAACGGCUCUUACCUCUCUAAAAUCCGUGAGGACUCCUCCAUAUGACCGUGAAAUUAGGCUGAUGAGACGGACUUGGAGAGAAAAUCAGUCGAGAGACAUCUCACAGUGAUGGCUUCCCGGGAAAAGGCAGCUGUGCACUGGUGGAUUAUAAGGAAGCCCGUUAGUUUCCUCAUGGGCGGUGGUCUCCUCUGCAGAAACGAAACUUAAGCUGUUCCGCCUGCGUGUGCGCACGCGCGAGUUUGUGCGGAGCCUAUUCCUGUCAGUGUAAUGUUAAAAUACUGUUAGUUGAUGACCAACUUUGAGACACUUCGAGAAGAACUAACCGAGUAUCCUCAGAUUCUUAUAGUUUAGCCAAAGUUUUAUAAGACUUCUCAGAAAUAAGAUGGUGUUUCUGAAAAAUUAAGUUAUUAAUUUAAGACAGGAUAGUCAUUUCUCUGAAAGUUGUUGUGAAAAAAAAAAUAUAUAUAUAUAUAAACUCA